rnacentral:lncRNA from 1 species
ACCUGUUUAAACAGAAGACGUAAGUGAUGGCUUGCCUCCUGGUUACUCUAGAUGGUUCUUGUUGUUUCUAGCAAUUUGUGUAUGCUAUUGACUAGUUUCCAUUUUAAACUCUAGUGUGUCAAAGACAAACAUGAGCAAUCCCCUAGAUGGCGUAUAAUUUUGAAACUUAGUGGUAUUGUGGGUUGGGUGGAUCAUUUUUCUUAUAAACAAGGGUCUUGAGAAUGUAACAGUCUAAAUAUCGUAACGUGUUGGAACAGGGCUUAAGAAAUUCCAGAUGUGAUUUAAAAAAUUAAAUAAAACCAAUAAAAUUUUAUGAUAAAAAAUUUACAAAUGACUUACAAAAUAAUAAGAAAUAAAAAAUAAUUAAUUUGAAAGCAUAUUCGACAUUAUCCUAAGAUGUAUUUUUAUCUCUCGUGUAAAAAAAUCUUAGAAAACCACCUUGAGAUACGAACGGAAUCAUCUGCCUAUGAGCAUAACAUGGAAGAGGUUGAUAGAGAUUCUUUUAGCACCCAGAAAAAUAAUUAUAGAGAAAAAAAAUUGAAGAGAAAAGUAGAGAGGGAGAGGCUUAGAUGUGAUAUAUAUAAGAUCAAGUUACAAGAAGAUCCUUUUAUAGCCCUCCAACAUGACUGUUUAUGAUUGUUUGGGUUUUUAUUAAUUUAUUAAGACUUUUAAUGAGAAGUUCAAUGAUCAGAAACA